rnacentral:snRNA from 1 species
AUCACUUCUUGGCAUUUUGGCUAAGAUCAAAUGUAGUAUCUGUUCUUGUCAGUUUAAUAUCUGAUAAGUCCUCUAUCUGAGGAUAAAUAUAUUAAAUGGAUUUUUGGAACUCAGAGCUGGAAUAAAAACUUGCUCCGGAGACUUCUGGUCAAGAUGGCGACCACCU